CCCACCACUUUAUUUCUUUAGCUUAAUAGUAUUGUGGGAUCAAAACCAGCAUCAACUAGAAGAGCGACGUGGUUCCUUUUGUCUCAUCAUUUUACUCAUGGCAUGUUUCUCUGCAACUCAACUACAUGCUCUUUCAUGGACUUCAUCCUUAAACCCUAACUUUUCCUUUCUUGCUCCCAAACUUUUCUACUAUCCAAAACCUUUAAGAGCUUCAUUCACCUCAUCUAAUGUCGAACCUACUACUGAAACGAAGGUUUCAUCAACUGCAAAGCUUCGGGAACUGUGCCGUGGUCACGUGCCCGACCACGUGAUUCGCCGGGCGGAAGAGGUUGGAUAUGUGAUACCUACAGAAGUGCAGCGACUGGCAUUGCCUUUCCUCUUUUCAGGACGUGAUUGUGUGCUUCAUGCGCAGACAGGUUCUGGAAAAACCUUGGCAUACCUGCUCCAGGUAUUGUCAGCCGUUGACAGUCAAAGGGCAGCAGUUCAAGCAUUGAUCGUGGUGCCUACUAGAGAGCUUGGUAUGCAAGUCACAAAAGUUGCUCGAAUGCUUGCUGCAAAUCCUUCAGAAUGUGACUCAGGACUGAAAUUAUGCACUGUUAUGGGUCUUCUAGAUGGGGGCAUGUUGAAACGACACAAGAGUUGGUUAAAGGCUGAGCCACCCACCAUUGUUGUUGCAACUAUAGGAAGUUUGUCUCAAAUGCUUGAGAAACAUAUUUUGAAGCUAGAUUCCUGCCAAGUACUUGUUGUUGAUGAGGUUGAUUUCAUGUUCAAUUCUUCGAAAGAAGUCAGUUCUCUUAAAAGGCUGUUGACAUCCUACUCAUCCAGCAAGAACCGUCAAACUAUCUUUGCUAGUGCUUCAAUUCCCCAGCACAGAAGAUUUUUGUAUGACUGUAUGCAGCAAAAAUGGACCAGGGCUGAUGUAGUUCAUGUCCAUGUGAAUUCAGUAGAGCCGAUGCCCUCAUGCCUCCAUCAUAGAUUUGUGGUAUGCAACAAAAGGGAAAAGAAUCCAAUGUUACUCUCAUUACUGCAGAGAGAUUCACCUGAAUCUGCCAUAAUUUUUGUCAGCGAGCAAUCUGAGAAGUCAAAAAAGGAAGGAACAGCACCUCCAACUACUCUUUUGGUAGAUUUUCUAAGGUCCUCUUAUGGGAGAUUUUCUGACGUCUCUCUUCUAGAGGAAGAUAUGAAUUUCAAUCGACGAGCAGCAUCGUUAUCUGAGCUUCGAGGAGGAGGAGGUUAUUUAUUGGUGGCAACAGAUAUUGCAGCUAGAGGGGUUGAUCUACCAGAUACGACACAUAUAUACAAUUUUGAUAGCCCAAAAAAUGCAGUAAAUUAUCUUCAUCGAGCUGGAAGAACUGGUAGAAAACCAUUUUCAGAUAAAACAUGUUUCGUCACCAGCAUUAUAACAGUGGAAGAGCGGUUUGUGUUGCAGAGAUUCGAAAAUGAGUUAAUGUUUUGUUGUGAACAAUUAUUCAUUUAACUGUGCAUAGAGUUCUUCUCCCUAAUCGUUGGCCUCAAAAGUUUACCGUUGCCUCUCUAGGAAAAGAUAAAUAACCGGCGGCUGAUGCACCAAGGGUGUGGCCUAGUGGUUCAAUAAAGUAGGGUUGAGCACCAUGAGGUCUCAGGUUCAAUUCCUAAUACAGAUAAAUGCUAGGUGAUUUUUUCCCACCUGUUCUAGACUUGGUGGAUAGAGUCACCUGGUAUCUGUUGGUAUCUGUUGCUGGUGGGAGGUGGCAGGUAUUCUGUGAAAUGAGACGAGGUGCAGCAAGCUUGCUCAGACACCACCACCACAACAACAUACCCAGUGUGUUCUCACAAAGUGAGGUCUGGGAAGGCUAAAAUCAUUAUUCCCACAAAGUGUACGCAGUUCAUAUCACUACCUCAGAUGAAGUAGAGGAUGUUUUCGAUAGACUUUCGGCUUAGGACAUAUAACAAUAUAACAAAUCAAGCACAAAUUCAAACAAAACAUUCUUCCCUACUAUAAUGGUCCGAACAUCACGAUUAUUAAAAAGAAAAAAAUAAUAAGAAUUAAACAACAGAUACUACCACUUAGGUGUGUAUGGUAUUAUGGAAAAAAAAUUCAAAUUUCCCUAGUUUCCUUGGUUAAAACGUUCAGGAAAAUAGCACCCAACGGGGUGUGUAGUAGCCAAUGAAGUGGGUUGAGAACUCGAGAUUUCAGUUCAAACUCUAGCAGAGAUUAAAAAACGCUAGGUGAUUCUUCUCAUAUGUCUUAGUUUUAGUGGACAAAAUUAUUAAAAAAAAAGUAAUAAUAAUUAAACAACAGAUACUACCACUUAGGUGUAUGGUAUUGCGGAAAAAAUUCAGUGUAUCGUAUUAUGGAAAAAUAUUUCAAAUUUCCCUAGUUUUCUUUAGUUGAAAUGUUCUGGAAAAUAGCACCCACGGGUGUGGUCUAGUGGUCAAUGAAGUGGGUUGAGAAUCUAAGGUCUUGUUUCAAAUACUAGUAGAGAUAAAAAAACAGUAGAGAUAAAAAACACUGUGAUUUUCCUCAUAUGUUCUAGCCUUAGGCCUCAUUUUUUACACUUAAUGGAGGUCUGAAUCUGAAUGGUUCAGACUUUAGACCAUUAAGUGGAUUUGUUUUUUAUUAAGACUUUAGGUCUGAAUAGGUCUUAAUCAUUCAGAUCUAGAACCAAGUCUUAAUAGGUCUGAAGAGAUAUUCUGGUGUUGAAUAAUAUUCACCACUCUAUUCAUAAUCAUCAGUCACUACCAGUAAUCACCUCUGCCACCGCCAUCAUUGUCAACCACCUCCACCAUCACAACCACCAUCGACAAUAAAUAUUGCCAUCAACCACUAUUGUCAACCAUUACCACACCUACUAACUCUAUUAUUCUAAUUAUAUUCACCGCCAUUACCACUGUCAACACUACCACCAUCAACCACUACCGGCCAAUCCCUACUACCGACUAACUCAUCUAUCGCAACUAGCACCACCACUAACUACCACUAAUGCAUCACAACCUCCACACAUUCUUUGGCCAUCAUUACCACUGUCACUAGUAACACCACAUCUACCACUACUUCAACCACUACCAUCGCUACAAUUUAUCUCCAUUAACAAUCUCUCCACCAUCACAACAAACAACAUUUCCAACUACCAACUAGCACCAACAGAUCGUCAACCAUCAUGCAUUCAUGUUUCAGCCAACACAAUUAACACCUCAAACUACUAACAUCAAUGUCACAUCACAACCACCACCACCAUCAUAACAAUCACUAUAAUAUCAACCAUCAAAACUAUUUCCACUAACAUUAUUAAUCACUAACAUCAAUCAUUGUCACCGCAAUCACCAUUAUAAACCAUCUCCACUAUUACUAGCAAACAAAUAUUUUUUCUCAAUCAAAUAAUAAUUUUGUUGCAUUAAAUUACAUAUUUUUUAAUACAUAAUUAAUUUUUUAUUUAAAUUAUAUUUUUUAUUUUAUUAUAUAUACAAAUAAAAAAAUUUUGCACAUUCAGAUGUUGAAAAACAAACAGUCUUAAUCAUUCAGUUUUCAGAUCUAGAGACAUCUUAAUCAUUCAGAUGUACAUUACAUUCAGAUUCAGACGUCUGAAUCUUAAAAAAAACAAAUGCAGCCUUAAUGGAUAGAGUUAUUUGAUAUCUGUUGUUGGUGGAAGGUGAAUGGUAUUCCAUAGAUUUAGUCGAGGUGAGCAAAAGUUGAUUCGGACACUACAAUUAUUUUAAAAAAAAUUGUUUUGGAAAAUGUUCUCUCGGAAAACAUGUUUAUAAAAAUUAGAAAAAGGACUUCUUUAAGGGGAAUUGGAAAAAUAAGUUUCGUAAAUGGCAUUCUAAGUUCAUUGUCUCCUCCCCAUCCACGACGCCCCACUCCUCAUAGUGUUUUUUUUAGAUUACAUGUAAAUAUUUUAGGGACAAUACUUUUUUUUGCUGCCUACCAAACACCAGAAAGAAGUAGCCGUUUGGCCAUGAAAAGUUUACUUUUUUUUUCAAAAAAUUAUUUCACUUUAGUGAAAUAAGUGAAAACAACAUGUGUUUGGCCAUGAGAAUUUCAAUACAAUUUUGGAAUUGUAUUUGGAAAAGUGAAAACAAGUUUUUUUUCACUCAUACUUCUCUCACAAAAUUUCAAAAAUAACUUAGUUUUAUAUUCAUGGUCAAACACAAUUCCAAUUUCAACUCUAACUCCAACUCCGAAAAAUUAUGAUUUUCAUGACCAAAUGGAGUCUAAAUAAGAACCAUUUAUUUUCCAAUAGUAACAUUUUCACAUUUUUUAGAUGUUACAUGGAGCAGUUACAGCUUUCUGAGGACAUGACCCUUGAUAAGAAAGUAUGGAGGAAAAGCAUUAGGGUAGAGGGCUAAGGUGGGGGUGGUUGAGUCGUAGUCUGUAGUUAGGAGGGUUUGGUGUAGCUUGGUUGGUAGGUCUAGGGGGUGGGGGAGGGGGGUCCAUUGUCUGUUUGUGUACUUUAUUGUUUUGUUAUUUUAUUCCUGUUGCACGCUUUUGACGUUUUUGUCCUUUGUCCUUUUGUCUUGAGCCGGAGGUCUAUCAGAAACAGCCUUUCUAUUUCCCCGGAGGUAGUGGUAUGGACUGCGUACAUUUCACCCUCCCCAGACCCCACUAGGUGGGAAUAUACUGGGUUUGCUGUUGCUGUUGUUCUCACAUUUUCCUUUGUACUAUAUACACCCUUAAUUUGGCUCAGCAUAUUACAUCAGAAAGUAUUUUAGUCCUUUGGUUCUUAUAAGUUCUAACGGCUGUGUAAUUUUCAGUUUUAAGCAAGACAUUUUGCUGAACAAAUUGGUAAAAAUAUUAAAAUUGAAUGGUUCUCUUGAAGUGCUCUUUCAAGAAAUUUAACCUUAUGUUCCUUUCUUUACUAAAUUGUUAACUACCACCUCAAAUUCCCAAAGAAGAUCCGGUGGAGCAGUGUUAAUGAGGAUGCAGUAUACGUGCUUUCCCGAAAAAGAAAAAGGAAUCCAGUACACAGGAGAAAACGGAGGAAAUAGUUGAAUAAUGAAGUAAUGUAGUGAAAGGCUGUACAGGUUUUGAUGCACGUACCUGCAAAUUGAUGUAUCAGCGGAAAAUAACAUCAUAUGCAGUUUUGGUAGACUAACCUUCAAGUGAACAUUGGUGCCUAUACGGGAUCGGAUGCCGACAACACUGUGCUCCACGAAACAAUUGGUCAAGAAACUACCAUGUGAUACAAUUGAAUCAACAAUCUGGCAACAACUAGAUUUGGUUAGCAGAAGAAAAUUUAGAGAUGUAUGUGUUUAAGAUUGAAGAAGUGGGUUUGUGCUUUAAACCUUGCUAUUAUCAAUCGCUGAUGGAGGUAAGUUUCUCCUUGAUGUGUAUAUUGGCUUUGUUGCAUCAUAGAAACUAAAUCUUGGUGGCUGAAAUGAAAAAAGCAACAUUAGUUGGCCAUAUUAUUAGUACGAACAAUCUUUUUAAUGUUGUCAAGUAAGAUUGACAGGUGUUCAAUAGCCAGAUUCCAUCUUACUUGGGUUGUUUGAAGAAACAAAACCCCUUAAAAGACUGAAAAAACAUAUAAUAUAGCUGUCUGAUUCUUACAUGUUCAGUGAGUGCAAGGUUUGAUUCAAAAAAGGAUCUGAUUGUACCAAUAUCUUCCCAGUAAUCAUUGAAUAAGUAAGCCUGCAAAAUCAGGGCAAAAUGCGCCUUAGUCACUGUACAGGUUGUAGUUAAGUUGCUUAGGAAACCAUAACAGAAAUAGUGAAUUGAAUUUUUUGGGACAAUGAAGACAUGCAGGGGUGAGGGUGGGAAAUAAGAUAAACAGGGGGAGAGGAAUUGUGGGCCCGUGAACUGCAAUAUAAUACCAAAUGCGCAUAGAAUAUCUUAGAUGCCUUGUGAUGAUGAAACAACAAUAUUGUGUAGUAGUGAACGUUUUGAGCCAACAGAUCGAGGUCUUGCAUAAAUGCCAACCAGAAAGUAAGUGGUACCCACCUUGAUACAGAAUUCUUUGGCAGAGGCAGGGAUAAUCUCUGAACCAAAGUCAUUUGCCGUCGGAAAACGCCAUCUAAAAAGACAAAGAGUUAGCAGUUCACGAUCUUCUUUUACCUGAUCUCUUCAGCAUGCAAAAGUAUGAAGGAACUCAGGGUUAACAUAGAUUUUAUGCGGUCUCUUUCUACUUUAUAAUAACCACCAAAAUGAGUGUGGCUACCCCUGUUAGAUGGAUGCAUAUAGUUUCUUCACUUUUUUGUCCUCUUUCUCCAAGUUUCUUUCAUUUGCAUGUUGGCAGGACAAUGACGCCCUCUAAAGUAAGGUACUAUAGAAGAAACUCGUUACAUACCUUAAGAGAUUCAGGAGGAUAUCCUUCUUGAAGACGUAAACUCCCAUUGAAGCAAUGUAAGGUUUCUGUUUAGCCUCUUCUGGGGAUAAUCCCAGAACAGAUGUGUCUACUGCCUGAAGUGCUUGUUGUCAAGUGAUUGCAGCAACUUUAUAAUUUAAAAGUAGAUUAAGCUCUGAGACUGUCAAAUUUUCAAGAAUUACCAUCGCCUUCAAAUCAUCUCCUUUUGGCUUUUCGCUGAAGGACAGGACCCGUCCUGAGUCAUCAAUUUUCAUCAAGCCAAAAUCUGAAGCGCGUCUAUCAUGAAAACAUAGAAGUGAUUCAAUAGAAGACAUUAUUUCUUGUAGUGAUUUUCAAAGCAGUCUUUGAGAAAGUAUGAUUUCGUUGAGGGGAAGAAUAGUCUAUCUAGUAUCUAGAUUGUCCCUCCUAAUGCUACCUGCCAUCUAUUGGCAAGCUUGAUAUGGUAAUGUCUGCACCACUUUGCCGAUGGCUCUG